AUUGAACGCUGGCGGCAGGCUUAACACAUGCAAGUCGAGCGGAGAGAGGUAGCUUGCUACUGAUCUUAGCGGCGGACGGGUGAGUAAUGCUUAGGAAUCUGCCUAUUAGUGGGGGACAACAUUUCGAAAGGAAUGCUAAUACCGAAUACGUCCUACGGGAGAAAGCAGGGGAUCUUCGGACCUUGCGCUAAUAGAUGAGACUAAGUCGGAUUAGCUAGUUGGUGGGGUAAAGGCCUACCAAGGCGACGAUCUGUGGCGGGUCUGAGAGGAUGAUCCGCCACACUGGGACUGAGACACGGCCCAGACUCCUACGGGAGGCAGCAGUGGGGAAUAUUGGACAAUGGGCGGAAGCCUGAUCCAGCCAUGCCGCGUGUGUGAAGAAGGCCUUAUGGUUGUAAAGCACUUUAAGCGAGGAGGAGGCUACUUUAGUUAAUACCUAGAGAUAGUGGACGUUACUCGCAGAAUAAGCACCGGCUAACUCUGUGCCAGCCGCCGCAGUAAGAC
rnacentral:rRNA from 1 species